rnacentral:rRNA from 1 species
AUGGCCGCGCCGCCGCCCGCCGACGAGAGGCCGCUGGUGAUGCUGGCGCAGCCGCUCUUCCCGGAGUUCGCCGCGGCGCUCGCUGGUCGCUACCGGUUCGCGCUGCUGGCGGACGCCGACGCGGCGGCCGCGGACGAGGCGAGGGCGCUGCUGGUAGGGGGGCUCCCGCCGGUCACGGCCCAGCACCUGGGCGCGCUCCCGGCGCUCGAGCUCGUGGCGUGCACCUCCGUGGGCGUGGACCACGUGGACCUUGACGCGUGCCGGAGCCGCGGGCUCAGCGUGACCAACGCCGGCGCCGCGUUCGCGGCCGACUCGGCCGACUACGCCGUCGGGCUUCUCGUCGCCGUGCUCCGAAGGGUGGCCGCCGCCGACGUGUACGUCCGCGGCGGCAGGUGGGCUGCCGACGGCGACUAUCCUCUCACCACCAAGGUGAGCGGCAAGCGGUUGGGAAUCGUGGGGCUGGGCAACAUCGGCUCCCGCGUCGCCCGGCGUCUCGCCGCCUUCGGCUGCGCGGUCUCCUACCACUCGAGGUCGCCCAAGCCGUCGGCGCCGUACCCGUUCGUCCCGGCGCUGCGCGACCUGGCCGCCGGCAGCGACGUGCUGGUGCUCUCCUGCGCGCUGACAGACGAGACCAAGCACAUGGUGAACCGGGACGUGAUGGAGGCGCUGGGGAAGGGCGGGGUGCUGGUCAACGUCGGCCGGGGCGGCCUCGUGGACGAGCCGGAGCUGGUCAGGUGCCUCCGCCAGGGCGUCAUCGGCGGCGCCGGCCUGGACGUGUACGAGAACGAGCCGGCCGUGCCGCCGGAGCUGCUCGCCAUGGACAACGUCGUGCUCUCGGACCACAGGGCCGUGCUCACGCCGGAGUCCAUCGGCGGCGUGCUUGAGGUCGUCAUCGCCAACCUCGACGCCUUCUUCUCGGGGAGGCCGCUGGUCAGCCCCAUGGAGCUCUGA